GGCUACACAGGGCUUCUUAGUCGUUGUGUACUUUGGAAUGAUACAGAGAAGACUAGCGUGGCCCCUGUACAAGGGUGACACAAAUUAAUAAAGCAUUGCAUAUUGGC